rnacentral:rRNA from 1 species
UACGUAGGGUGCAAGCGUUGUUCGGAAUCAUUGGGCGUAAAGCGCGUGUAGGUGGUUAAUUAAGUCGAUUGUGAAAGCCCUCGGCUCAACCGAGGAAGUCGCAGUCGAAACUGACUAGCUAGAGGACGGCAGAGGAAGGUGGAAUUCCAAGUGUAGAGGUGAAAUUCGUAGAUAUUCGGAGGAACACCAGUGGCGAAGGCGGCUCACUGGUCCGGUACUGACGCUGAGGUGCGAAAGCGUGGGGAGCAAACGGG